UAACUCAGUUGGCAGAGCGCAAGACUCUUAACCUUAAGGUCGUGGGUUCGAGCCCCAC
rnacentral:tRNA from 1 species